GAUUGUGAAGAGUAGCAGCCACGUUGUUUAUUUCUUCCAUAAAAAGAAACCCACCCUCACUUGAUUUUCACCUUCUAAACAGCAAGCUCUCCUCAUCAACAAGCUUCAAUCGAAACCAUACAAGCAAUCCAUACUUGGAGGCUUUGAACGUCAGGAGGAUUAGCACUGCUAUUCCGAUUCAGAGAUAAGGUUAAACGACAGGCUUUGCCUAAAUAGGUUAACGGCUGGUGCUGACGGGGCGAGCUGAGGCUAGGGUUCAACUCCGUGUUUUGACUUCUGCUGUAGAACUAGUUAAUAUAUGUCUUUUGUUUCCUUAAUUUAAGACCGUUAUGUUGUGACUCUAAACAAUAUAUAUACUGUUGAGCCGAGACUUUUAUUUCACAA